UUAAGCGACUAAGCGUACACGGUGGAUGCCCUGGCAGUCAGAGGCGAUGAAGGACGUGCUAAUCUGCGAUAAGCGUCGGUAAGGUGAUAUGAACCGUUAUAACCGGCGAUUUCCGAAUGGGGAAACCCAGUGUGAUUCGUCACACUAUCAUUAACUGAAUCCAUAGGUUAAUGAGGCGAACCGGGGGAACUGAAACAUCUAAGUACCCCGAGGAAAAGAAAUCAACCGAGAUUCCCCCAGUAGCGGCGAGCGAACGGGGAGGAGCCCAGAGCCUGAAUCAGUGUGUGUGUUAGUGGAAGCGUCUGGAAAGGCGCGCGAUACAGGGUGACAGCCCCGUACACAAAAAUGCACAUACUGUGAGCUCGAUGAGUAGGGCGGGACACGUGGUAUCCUGUCUGAAUAUGGGGGGACCAUCCUCCAAGGCUAAAUACUCCUGACUGACCGAUAGUGAACCAGUACCGUGAGGGAAAGGCGAAAAGAACCCCGGCGAGGGGAGUGAAAAAGAACCUGAAACCGUGUACGUACAAGCAGUGGGAGCCUCUUUAUGGGGUGACUGCGUACCUUUUGUAUAAUGGGUCAGCGACUUAUAUUCUGUAGCAAGGUUAACCGAAUAGGGGAGCCGAAGGGAAACCGAGUCUUAACUGGGCGUUAAGUUGCAGGGUAUAGACCCGAAACCCGGUGAUCUAGCCAUGGGCAGGUUGAAGGUUGGGUAACACUAACUGGAGGACCGAACCGACUAAUGUUGAAAAAUUAGCGGAUGACUUGUGGCUGGGGGUGAAAGGCCAAUCAAACCGGGAGAUAGCUGGUUCUCCCCGAAAGCUAUUUAGGUAGCGCCUCGUGAAUUCAUCUCCGGGGGUAGAGCACUGUUUCGGCAAGGGGGUCAUCCCGACUUACCAACCCGAUGCAAACUGCGAAUACCGGAGAAUGUUAUCACGGGAGACACACGGCGGGUGCUAACGUCCGUCGUGAAGAGGGAAACAACCCAGACCGCCAGCUAAGGUCCCAAAGUCAUGGUUAAGUGGGAAACGAUGUGGGAAGGCCCAGACAGCCAGGAUGUUGGCUUAGAAGCAGCCAUCAUUUAAAGAAAGCGUAAUAGCUCACUGGUCGAGUCGGCCUGCGCGGAAGAUGUAACGGGGCUAAACCAUGCACCGAAGCUGCGGCAGCGACACUAUGUGUUGUUGGGUAGGGGAGCGUUCUGUAAGCCUGUGAAGGUGUACUGUGAGGUAUGCUGGAGGUAUCAGAAGUGCGAAUGCUGACAUAAGUAACGAUAAAGCGGGUGAAAAGCCCGCUCGCCGGAAGACCAAGGGUUCCUGUCCAACGUUAAUCGGGGCAGGGUGAGUCGACCCCUAAGGCGAGGCCGAAAGGCGUAGUCGAUGGGAAACAGGUUAAUAUUCCUGUACUUGGUGUUACUGCGAAGGGGGGACGGAGAAGGCUAUGUUGGCCGGGCGACGGUUGUCCCGGUUUAAGCGUGUAGGCUGAUUUUCCAGGCAAAUCCGGAAAAUCAAGGCUGAGGCGUGAUGACGAGGCACUACGGUGCUGAAGCAACAAAUGCCCUGCUUCCAGGAAAAGCCUCUAAGCAUCAGGUAACAUCAAAUCGUACCCCAAACCGACACAGGUGGUCAGGUAGAGAAUACCAAGGCGCUUGAGAGAACUCGGGUGAAGGAACUAGGCAAAAUGGUGCCGUAACUUCGGGAGAAGGCACGCUGAUAUGUAGGUGAAGCGACUUGCUCGUGGAGCUGAAAUCAGUCGAAGAUACCAGCUGGCUGCAACUGUUUAUUAAAAACACAGCACUGUGCAAACACGAAAGUGGACGUAUACGGUGUGACGCCUGCCCGGUGCCGGAAGGUUAAUUGAUGGGGUUAGCGGUAACGCGAAGCUCUUGAUCGAAGCCCCGGUAAACGGCGGCCGUAACUAUAACGGUCCUAAGGUAGCGAAAUUCCUUGUCGGGUAAGUUCCGACCUGCACGAAUGGCGUAAUGAUGGCCAGGCUGUCUCCACCCGAGACUCAGUGAAAUUGAACUCGCUGUGAAGAUGCAGUGUACCCGCGGCAAGACGGAAAGACCCCGUGAACCUUUACUAUAGCUUGACACUGAACAUUGAGCCUUGAUGUGUAGGAUAGGUGGGAGGCUUUGAAGUGUGGACGCCAGUCUGCAUGGAGCCGACCUUGAAAUACCACCCUUUAAUGUUUGAUGUUCUAACGUUGACCCGUGAUCCGGGUUGCGGACAGUGUCUGGUGGGUAGUUUGACUGGGGCGGUCUCCUCCUAAAGAGUAACGGAGGAGCACGAAGGUUGGCUAAUCCUGGUCGGACAUCAGGAGGUUAGUGCAAUGGCAUAAGCCAGCUUGACUGCGAGCGUGACGGCGCGAGCAGGUGCGAAAGCAGGUCAUAGUGAUCCGGUGGUUCUGAAUGGAAGGGCCAUCGCUCAACGGAUAAAAGGUACUCCGGGGAUAACAGGCUGAUACCGCCCAAGAGUUCAUAUCGACGGCGGUGUUUGGCACCUCGAUGUCGGCUCAUCACAUCCUGGGGCUGAAGUAGGUCCCAAGGGUAUGGCUGUUCGCCAUUUAAAGUGGUACGCGAGCUGGGUUUAGAACGUCGUGAGACAGUUCGGUCCCUAUCUGCCGUGGGCGCUGGAGAACUGAGGGGGGCUGCUCCUAGUACGAGAGGACCGGAGUGGACGCAUCACUGGUGUUCGGGUUGUCAUGCCAAUGGCACUGCCCGGUAGCUAAAUGCGGAAGAGAUAAGUGCUGAAAGCAUCUAAGCACGAAACUUGCCCCGAGAUGAGUUCUCCCUGACUCCUUGAGAGUCCUGAAGGAACGUUGAAGACGACGACGUUGAUAGGCCGGGUGUGUAAGCGCAGCGAUGCGUUGAGCUAACCGGUACUAAUGAACCGUGAGGCUUAACCUU
rnacentral:rRNA from 1 species